AUCAACCUUAAUAACCCUCAGUCACUCACUUUCAUUCUCUCUCUCUCACCUAACUCAACCCAAUCCUCACCUCUCUCAUUCUGCUUCACUCACCUAACUCAGCCUUUCAUUUUGACAUCUCUCAUUCUCUAUGACUAACUGAAUCACUUCCCCCAUCCUCCUUCAAUUGCCACUCUCACCUGCUCAACCUUACUCACUGAAUCAUAGAAGCAAGCUCAUCUUCCUUCACACUAGCAUCGUUAUCUCGUCAUGAUCACUGGCUUGUCUGCUACUCUGUGCUGCCAACAGCUUCUCGCCGAAGAAAUUCCAGAGUUCAUCUUAUUAUUAAAUUUUAGGCUUUCAUCUAGGUGAAGUUCAGAUCAGUUUGGCAGAGUUUGUGUGCCAGAAAAGAGAAGAAUUGGAAGCUGCCAAGCUGGCGCUAAACGCGGACCUGGGUGUUUAGUGCCAGCAGCUCAGAAGCGCGAGAGAGCUCUCUCUCCACAAGGGAGCUAAACGCUAAACCUGAUGUUUAGCGCCAGCAAGCCAGAAUGAAUAGAAACGUUUCUGCCACCUAGGGUGCUAAACACCGAAUCUGGCAUUUAGCACCAACAAUGCGGAUCACACUUCAUCAAAAGAGUAUCUUUAGUUAGAUUUAACUUUUAAUUAUUCUAUUUUAUUUUAUUUUAUUUUAGUUAUUUUUAAUUAUAAAUAAAAUCUUUUAGGUUUAGAAUUUAUUAUUUUAUUUUAGUUUCAAAUCAAAUUAGGUUAGAUAUAAAAGGGAAAAGAUUCAGGCCUUUGGGGGAUCUUUUCUCUUCCGCACUUUCACAUUUUUUGAACCCUAAUUUUCUCUCGAAGUCAUGAGCCGUUAAACCUCUUUGGUUAAGAUUAGAAGCUCUAUUUAUUUCUAUGUAUUAAGACUAUUAUUUUUCUAUUUUAAUUAAUGUAUUGAUUCAGUUUUAAGGAUUAUUAUCGUUCUUCAUCUUAUGAAUCUAGAUAUAUCAGAAGAAUAACCUUUAUUCUAUAUGCAUUCUUGUGAUUUUCGGAAGAGUUAUCUCAGUUGAAUACCAGCUUGAGAGUAAAUUCCUCCUAAAUUGCUAAUUACUUGAACUUAAUAGGAUAUGUGACAUAUAAUCCUUUUAUAUUUGGGUAAUUAGGGUUCUGUAGCCAAUAAACUAGAAUUGAACAUAACCCUCUAAUCUAUAUUAAGUGACAUAUUAAGUGACUAAGACACUGGCGGUUGAUUAGGUUAGAAGAGACUAAAUCACUAGGAAUUAGGGUUUCGCCAAUUACAGUUUGCCAUGAAAUGAAUUUGCAUGAUUAAAAUAGUUGGUAAGAAAACUUAAUCCGGACAAAUAAAUAACUCCAAAAUUUUAAUUGUUUUCUCCCAUAUAUUUAACAGCAAUUUAUUGUUUGCUUUCUGAUUCUCUGAUUUUACUGUUUAAUGCAAUUGAACUCUGUAAACAUAAUUUUCUAUUUGCCUGACUGAGUAAUUCAUUCGACUAUCGUUGCUCAGUCCAUCAAUCCUCGUAGGAUCGAUCCUCAUUCACUUGAUGUAUUACUUGGUACGACCCGGUGCACUUACUAGUUCAGUUGUGGUAUUCUAAUUGCGCACCAGCAAGUUCUUCUGAGUUAAUGAAGUCAUUAAAGUCUUGAAUUGACUUCGCUGAGUUAUCUUUGCCUCCUUCCUUCUCAUGGUGAAAUCUCAUCCAUCAACAUUGAUCCUCCAAGCAACAAUGCUGGAAAUUCUUUUCAACAACCAUUUAUCAUCAAUCAACGAUCUUUCACACUUAUUUCUGAUAAAUCGGGUGAAAACAAUCACAAAAUUUGGCUGCAGCAAGAUCUAGCUGCUAUUAGAGGCCAAGAUCUAGAAGAACACCUGUAUGCAGAUCGAGUUCCAUCCCAAAAAUCAACAACAACACAAGGUUCCUCCACAAACACAACAACUUACAAGUAAUGGUGUCAAGAUUAUCAAAAUUUAAAAUUCACCUGAUUUUAAAGGAUAUAGAUGCCUCUCUUCUAGUGAAAAAAAUGUACAUUUCAAGAAGUGUUCAUUUUGAUGAAACUCAAUUUUCAUAUUCUGAAUUAUUCACUCUAUUGAUAGAAUUAUAACUAAUGACACUGAUAAUCAUGAUUUUGCAUCCUCUUUCACCAAACACUCUUUACUGCAUACAGAUCAUCAUCGUAUUACUACUGAUACUACUUCUAAAUCAAACACUAGUCACAUUAAUUCUCAAAUUGAUUGUCUUGAUAUUACUGAGAAUGACAUUAAUAAUGAAUUACAUAAUUCUAAUUUACCCCCUAAAUUCCUCCCAAAUUCCAAUUUCAAGCAUAGAAAUACAACACUCUGCCUUGGAUACUGAUGCCAUUGAACUAAAUUUACCUCAUAUUCAACGUUGUGCACUUAAUGCUAAUAGACACUAUGGUUACUAGGUCUAAGGCUAACAACAACAAUCCCAAAGUCUUAAAUUCUAUCAUUACUUCCCCUGAUUACACACAACAACCACCAAAAUCUACUAAAAUAGCACUUACUAUACCUCAUUGGCAUAAAGUCAUGAUGAUGGAAGAAUAUCAAAUCCCUGUGAAAGCUAAGACAUGGAUUGUAGUUCCACCACCACAUCAUGCUAAACCCACAGGCAGUAAAUGAAUUUUUACCAUUAAGAAGCAUCUAGAUGAAACUAUACAAAAGUACAAAGCUAGA